rnacentral:lncRNA from 1 species
AAAAACACUAUUUGAUCUGUUCACUAUCCUCAUAUGGCGGCUUGAUUUCGAUAUAUUUUUCUUUUUAGUGCCAAUUUUUUUGAUACUUUAAUGAUCAAAUCCUUCAAUUUUAUUCUAAUCUGUAAAUCCUGAGGCUCGAUGAAACAAGAAACUUACUUUGGUAUCUUGUCAUCGUCUCUUUCUCCUUCAUUUCAUAUAUUCUUUUGUUUCUUCUCAUUUGGAUUGCCGGAAACAUAAAAUCACAAGGCUGACAACAAACUAGAGCAAUGAUUAGAAGAAACCU